GAAACCCAAAGAAUUUGGCGGUAUUUUAGUCUUUUCAAAGGAAUCUGUCCUGUAAUUGAUAAUACACGAUUUGUUUUACUUGAUUUUGUUAUCAGUUUAUAUAUCGCCGUCAUAAUAUUAUUUUUAUUUAAGAAUUAUUUUUUCUCGUUUUUUUAGUAAAUUAUAUGUCAGGUCAAGGUGUAUCUUAUAAUUAAGUGAAGAUGGAUUACAAUAAUAUUAAUUAUUAUGGAUGAUUAAUUUUAGGUUAAUUUGAAGGUGGAUUUGAUUGUAAAUUUAUUUUUGAUUUUUAUGUUGAUUAAAGCUCUAAAAUGUGCACAUAUCGCCCGUCGCUCUCGUUAUUAGGGAGAG
rnacentral:rRNA from 1 species